rnacentral:misc_RNA from 1 species
GUAUUGAUUGCGCAUUAUCGCAAAUAGUAAGACAUUCUACACAUGCGGUGGUUUGUAUAAAAACGCAAAUGCCCCCUUUCGGAACAAACCAAAAGGAGAGCACCCACGCGGUGAUGCACAAAGGGGUAAGAUGGAUAUUUGUAUGUGAGAGGACUCGGGCGUGCACGACAAAAAAAAGCCAGCGACAACCCUCGUACCCCCAUUGUACGAUAAUGAUCCUUCCGCAGGUUCACCUACGGAAA